UAGGAGGUGACUUUUUUAUUGUAAUUUCAGUAAAAAUAGCAAAAUCAUAGGCCAGUGAGUCAUUUUACACAGAAAACACGUGUAAUUAAUACACUUGUUUCGCUGGUUGUAUCUAAAUACUGUGUAGUAUCAUUUACUGUAGUACGAGAAUUACGAAUUACACAAAAUUACAGUUUUAUGUAAAGAAAAAAAUAAUUAAAUUCAGGUAUUUUAAAAUAUAUUACGCCUGCGAAAACAAAGAACUAUUUUUCCUGACUACGUCACAAAGUCUUUGUAUCGUCGAUGUAACAGUUGGAAGGAAUGCGUUAGAUGGCAAAGUCAGAUUUAUUUGCAACUGAACGAUCUGCUUAAGUGGAUUUUAAACAAAGUCUAAAAGUUUAUGAAAAAUCUCAAAAAAAAAAAAAAAUGCUUCAAACAGUCGCUGAAAGUGUUUCAGUUCUAAUAAAUUUCAUCAUCUCACUACUUUAUGGAUCUUCUGACAAAGAAAAUGGUGCACUCGAUCAAAUACCGGAUAGAGAUGAAUUAGGUAUUAUUCAUUCUACAAUAUAAAUAAUAAAUACAGUAAAACCUGUCACCUUCAGUCUCUUGUUAAGUGAAGCUAGGCAGGUGUGGAGAAAAACCUGUUAAGAUCUGACAAUAUUUUUGGCUCAUUCUUUAAUAUAGGAUCAAUACAGCUGCAUAAAUGAAACAAGAUUAUUAUUAUUAUU